rnacentral:rRNA from 1 species
AAUCCAGGCCCUACGGGGCGCAGCAGGCGCGAAAACUUUACCAUGCGGGCAACCGUGAUAAGGAAACCCCGAGUGCCAGCACAGGCUGGCUGUCCGCCAGUUUAAAUAACUGGUGAAGAAAGGGCCGGGCAAGACCGGUGCCAGCCGCCGCGGUAAUACCGGCGGCUCGAGUGGUGGCCGCUAUUACUGGGCUUAAAGGGUCCGUAGCUUGAUAACUGGGUCCCUUGAGAAAUCCGCCAGUUUAACUGUCAGGCUUUCAGGGGAUACUGUCUGGCUCGAGGCCGGGAGAGGUGAGAGGUACUUCAGGGGUAGGGGUGAAAUCUUGUAAUCCUUGAAGGACCACCAGUGGCGAAGGCGUCUCACCAGAACGGACCUGACGGCAAGGGACGAAAGCUAGGGGCACGAACCGGAUUAGAUACCCGGGUAGUCCUAGCCGUAAACGAUACUCGCUAGGUGUCGGCCACGGUGCGACCGUUGUCGGUGCCGUAGGGAAGCCGUGAAGCGAGCCACCUGGGAAGUACGGCCGCAAGGCUGAAACUUAAAGGAAUUGGCGGGGGAGCACCACAACGGGUGGAGCUUGCGGUUUAAUUGGAUUCAACGCCGGAAAUCUUACCGGGACCGACAGCAACAGAAGUCCAGACGAGGAAUCA